CCACUUAAGACGCCUCUAUGCCGUUGUUUGGUUCAUGGUUUUUCUAUUACGCCUGUAAUACAAUACUAACCUAAUCGGUGAAAUCCACCGAUUUCUAAUACACCCCAUUUGCUCAGAUUAGGCGCCGCAUAGGUUUACCAUCCCUGUUAUACCCUCCCAUCUGCUUCCCCGUUUCUCUUCUGUUCCUUCUAGCCUCUGCCGAUUUCCUUGUUGGUAAGUUAAUACCUCCAGAUUUGUUUCACUCUGCUGAUUCUGCAUGUAAUCGGUUUCCCCUUUUCUGAUUACAGCUUCUUCUUCAUCGCACUGUGCCCGAAUUUGGUCAUUUACAGGUUAGUGUUUUGGGUUUUUAAGCUUUCCAUUCCUCCUAAUUUAUUCCUCUUCUUGGUUGCCUUGCCUGCGCCUAGUUAUCGCCAUUUCUGCUUCUUUCCAGGCUCCACUCAAGGCUUCAAUUUAUUUCAAAGGAAAUCCAUAUUCAUUACAGGUCAACUAAACCUUCAAUUUACAAGCCAUAUGUAAUCAUGUUUCCUUUUUUUUUUUAAUUUUGGGUCUCUGCAAGAUUUGUUCUUUUUGGGGUUUUGAAUUCUUUUUAUUGUUAUGUUUAGUUAAUCCUUGAAUUUAUGUUGUUUAGAGAUGGUGAAUUUAACAGAAGUAAU
rnacentral:lncRNA from 1 species